rnacentral:lncRNA from 1 species
GAGGAGGAAGAGGAGGGAGAGGAGGAGGAAGAGGAGGGGUAGGAGGAGGAAGAGGAGGAAGGAGGAGGAAGAGGAGGAGGAAGAGGAGGAAGAAGAGGAGAAAGGAGGAGAAGAAGGAAGAGGAUCAGGAAGAGGAGGAGGAGGAAGAGGAGGAGGAAGAGAAGGAAGAGGAGGAGGAGGAAGAGGAGAAGAAGGAAGAGGAGGAGGAAGAGAAGGAAGAGGAGGAGGAAGAGAAGGAAGAGGAGGAGGAAGAGAAGAAGGAAAAGGAGGAAGAGGAGGAGGAGGAAGAGGAGCAGAAGAAGGAAGAGGAGGAGGAAGAGGAAGAAGAGGAGAAGGAGAAAGAAGAGGAGGAGGAAGAGGAAGAGGAGGAGGAAGCUGGACUUGACACUGAGACACACAUACCCUAACUCCUCCAGUGGCUGGAACCCUGAGAAGUAACCUGGGAGCCAUAGCUAGCCACAUUCCCUACCAUGCGGCAGGGGGAAGAGCAGUCUGUGCAGAGGGAACACAGAGGGAGGCAGGGUAGAGCAGCGAGGAGGGAAGGAGGGACCUCUGCACCGUGCUUAUCUAUAGUUCUAGCACCUUGGUCUAACUUGGCUGCCCGUGGGCACCACAAGACACCUCGAUAUCUGUAGAACACAUUUUCUUCCUUGCUGGAGCCAGCCCGCCUGGGCUUCUGUUAUGUGCAGCAGAAUCCUAACCCGCCCAGAAGGCUCAAUGGCUGUGUGCUGAAUCAAUGCUUUGCAGUCCUCCCCCGAUCCCUGAAGAUGGCAGGAGUGGGAUGUGGCACAGUCAAGUGACUAUGAGUGCAGGUCAGGGCAGCAGCCUCUCCAGACCUUCCCAGUGAGGCUGCCCAGGUCCUGGGGCAGAACGUGUUUGAGGGGCUUCUCAUUAAUCUGUCAGGAAAGAUGACGUGCUGACCUGCAGGCUGACCUGGGAGGGGUACCAGCACCCGACACUGCUCUGGCUCUCAGCCAUCAGGCAGUGAUACCAUCUGCCAUCUUCACUCCCCAGGCACCUCUGUAACUGCUCCAGGACCCCGACAAGCACAGCCCUCCACUGCCCUCCAUUCAAGGCUAUCCCUCCCUCAUCCAUAAAUUCAUUCAUACAUUCAUCAAAUGUUGACUGUCCCCCUCAUUACACUGGACACCAUUCCAGAUGCAGAGACUGUGUGCCGGCUUUUCUGUUUCCUCUUGCCCCACAGUCCACUCUGCCCUUCUCUGCUCAGAAGGCUGGGCUCUAGAGACUGCAUCACUGGGCUCUCUUCCCCCUGGCUUCCACUUGGGUUCAGCUAAUGGGAGCAAUGGCAGCAAGACCAGAGGGCAGGAGGAGAGACGGAUGGGGGAGUUUAUUCUGAUUCCCCCACUUCGGCAUGUGCAGCCGCCGGCCUCCAAGACAGCCUUGCUGCUCUCGGCUCCUGGCAUCUGUGCCCCUGUGUAAUGUCCUUCCACAUUGUAGCAGGGCUGGUCUAAGUGAGCAACAGAAUCAUUAGAACCAAUAGAAUGGUGGAAAUGAUGGUUUGUGACUUCUGAGACUGGGUCUUAAAAGGUAUUGUGGGGGUUGGGCUCACACCUGCAAUCCUAGUGCUUUGGGAGGCCAAGGGAGGGGGAUUGCUUGAGGCCAGGAGUUUGAGACCAGCCUUGGCAACAUAGUGAGUGCCCCGUCUCUACAAGAAAAAAAAAAACAAAAAAUUAGCUAGGCAUGGUGGUGCCUGCCUGCAGUCCCAGCUACUUGGGAAGGUGAGGUGGGAGGAUCACUUGAGCCUAGUAGUUCCAGGCUGCAGAAAGUUAUGAUCACACCUCUGCACUCCAGCCUGGGCAUCAGAGUGGGACCCUGUCUCAAAACAAACAAACAAACAAAUACAAACAACAACAACAACAAAAAAGCAAGGCCAGGCAUAGUGGCUCACACCUGUAAUCCCAGCACUUUGGAAGGCCAAGGUGGGUGGAUCACCUGAGGUCAGGAGUUUGAGACCAGGCUGGCCAACAUGGUGAAACCCCGUCUCUACUAAAAAUACAAAACAUUAGCCAGUUGUGGUGGCAGGUGCCUGUAAUCCCAAGCUACUUGGGAGGCUGAGGCAGGAGAACCGCUUAAACCCGGGAGGCAGAGGUUGCAGCGAGUCGAGAUUGCGCCAUUGCACUCCAGCCUAGGUGAUACAGCGAGACUCUGUCAAAAGAAAGAAAGAAAGAAAAGAAAGGAAAGAAAGAAAGGCAUUAUGGCUUCUAUAUUAUCACCUGUUGUGGGAUAAGCCAGCUGCCAUGAUGUGAGGACACUCAAGCAGUCCCAUGGAGAGGCUACAGGGCGAGUGUGCCGCCUUGGAAGUAGACCUGCCAACUUCUUUUUUUUUUUGAGACGGAGUUUCGCUCUUGUUGCCCAGGCUGGAGUGCAAUGGCGCGAUCUCAGCUCACGGCAACCUCCGCCUGCCGGGUUCCAGUGAUUCUCCUGCCUCAGCCUCCCGAGUAGCUGGGAUUAUAGGCAUGCGCCACCACGCCCGGCUAAUUUUGUAUUUUUAGUAGAGAUGGGGUUUCUCCAUGUUGGUCAGGCUGGUCUCGAACUUCCAACCUCAGAUGAUCCACCUGCCUCGGCCUCCCAAAGUGCUCGGUGGCCUCCCAAAGGUGUGAGCCACCGAGACUGGCAGACCUGCCAACUUCUGUUAAGCCUUCUGACACCUGCAGCCCUGACCAAUGUCUUGAGAGACCCAAAGCUAAACUACCUACUUAAGCGGCCCCUGCAAACCUGACCUACAGAGACUAUAACAAUAAAUGUCUGUUGUUUUAAGCCACUAAGUUUUGGGGUAGUUUGCUAUAUGGCAAUGGAUAAUGCAGCGUGGCUCUGGACCAGGUGUUCUCACCCUGCCUCUGGCAAUACAGCUUGUCCUCCUGUGAAACAACUUCCUACUACUGCUGUCUUUGGAUGUCUCAAUGUCCCCUGUUGACUUCCUUUAUCCUGUCCUCAACCCUUUACUAAACUCUCUUCAAACUUCACAAUGGAAUAUGUUGCCUGCUUCCUGCCUGGUGCAGGUUGGAAUUAUGAACAAGACAGACACCCUUCCCUUCAGAGUUUAUAUUCUAGUGGGGAAAACAGACAAUAAAUUAGCCAACAAAUAAAUAAGCAAGGUAAUUUCAGAGACCAGUAAGUAAAACAGAGAAACGAAUGGAAAAAUAAAUGGGGCUCGAGACAGGCUGAUCAGGAGCCUACACUAGGCAGGCUUGUCAACGAAGGCCUCUCAGAGGCCGUAGGCUCAGUCUGAACUCAGGAGAAGGCAACUCAGACAGAAGAGGCUGGAGCAGUCAAAGGGAGCAGCGACGUCCCUAAGAUAGGAGAGGGUGUGGAGGUGUCAGGAACAGAGGAGGGAGGCCCACGUGCUAGAGCAGAGCUCGCAGGGUGGCAAGUGGGAGAGGGGAGCUCAAGAGACUCAGGCAAAGCCAGAUGAGGAGUUUGGGUUUUGUUUAAACUACAGCACAGCCCCUCACUAAAGGAUGUUCAGUGAGGUCCGUGUAGUAUCCAAUUUACCUUUGGAACGAGCUCUCCGGUCUUGACACCUCUGCCUAUAAUCUCUAGACCCAUAACGUGGGCUGACAUGAACUUCUCAGAUGCAAAUUGCUCUGACCAGGAUGUCCUGGUCAGCCCUCUGGGGUGGAUGGAGGGGCUGCUCCUACCACCAGCCUGGGGACCUCCCACCCCUGCCUCAUCCAGAGAGCCUCGCUUGCCACAUGGGCACGAAAGGGGCCUUCCAGGUCUCUGGGCUUUAGCAGGGCUCACCCACUCUGGCUGGCUCUGAUUUUGUUUUGAGGAAAACAAAGUCCAGGUGUUGAAGUGGUCUGAGGAAGGUUACACCAUGCAAUGGACUGAAUGUUGGUAUCUCCCCAGAAUUCACGUGUUGAAACCUAAUCCCCAGGGUGAUGGUAUUUAGAGGUGGGGCCUUUGGGAGGUGAUUAGGCCAGGGGGGUGGAGCUCUCACAAUGGGAUUCCUGCUCCUUUGCCCAUUUCCUGCCAUGUGAGGACACAGGAAGGUGACUGUCUGUAACCCAGAAAAAGGUCCUUGCCAGUCACCAACCAGGCUGGCACCCAGAUCUCAGACUUCCAGCCUUCAGAAGUGUGAGAGAUAAAUUUCUACUGUUUGUAAGCCACCCAGUCUACGAUAAUUUGUUACAGCCACCUGAAUGGACCACAACAACCCAGGUAUGCACCCCCUGGCCCCGCCUCUACCCAGAUGGAAAGGGAAGAUCAGAAGGCAGGAGUUCCCGCCCCUCCUCCUGGCCUUGCCUGGUCCUGUCUCACAGGGUCUCACAGUGGCCCUUACCCACUCCCUGGCCUGCCUCUCUCUCUGAGAGGGUGGGUCCUUCUCCCCACACAGGCUGUCCAUGAGGCAACCUGUGAGGGGCAGGUUGGGGAGGGAGGGGAGCUCGGCUGCUCCCACCAGGCCCCUCCUCCUGCCCCCAUGGGCACUGACCACCCAGGGACCACCGGCCUGUGUCCCGCCCGGCUCUGGGUCACUGCAUAGGCCCAAAUCACACCUGUGGUUCUCCUCGGAGGUGUAACCUUGCUCAGAUCACUUGAUUACCUGAAUUUUGUUUUCCUUAACUCAAAGAUGGGCAUAUACAUAGCCCUCCUAUUUCUUUUUUGCUUUUUUGAGAGCCCCAUCGCCUUUCACCCUCUCAUCUGUGAGCAACUCCAUUGCUGCUCUAGGAAAGGCAGAGUCUGGCACCUGGCAAGGCCUCCUCACAGGCCUGACUCCCGUCCCUUCCCACCUCCCUAGGCAGAACCGGGUGGAACUGCAUGAGAAGCGACGGAGGCGCCAGCCCCAGCCAGCUCCCUGUGGCUCCUGGCACCAAUCAGGCCUCGAGGCUUCCUCAACACCAGCUUUCCUUCCCCUCCCAUUGGGCCCUGCAUCCCUGCCUUCUGCAACAUUGUGCUCCUGACCCUGGCUGGCUCCCAGCCCUCCACAGCUGGGCCCCACCUCAGAGCCUUUGCAUCAGGUAGCCCCAGAGUCAGAGAGAAGGCCCCCGACAAAGCCGCAGAUGGAGCUCAGCCCCAGGAAACACCUUUCCAGAGCAAGGCUCCAGCUCACUGUAGGACCACAGUCAAGUCUGUAUCCAGGCCGAGCGACAGCCGAUGCAGCCUCAGUGUUCCUUUGCCUUGGGGGUUUCUGAGUGGUGGGGUUGUAAGCAGAUCCUGCCAGGCACCCAGAAGGAAACCUCAUCAGGACUCCCUCAGAAAGGCCCUGAAGAAUCCUGUGACCUUCAUCUAAAGUAGGUCAUGAGACCCCUGAGCUUAAAACGGAGUGAUCGGCUUUGGAGAAGUAAGGAGACAUGACGUGCCUGCCCUGGGGUGGGGACUAAACUUCGUGCCACUCCACGUGAAAGGGGGAGAAAUCCCUGGAAGGCACGCAGGCUGGACAUCAUCAUAUAUUCUCUACAGAUGGAGACACCAAGGCCCACGCCUUCUGUGCUGUUGGAAUUUCAGGAAGGAUGGGGGUGGGGCACGGCCUCAGCCCUGGGCAUGUUCUGCAGAUUGCACUGCUCUUAUCUGCCAGGGGGUGGUGAGAGGGUGGCUGAGCUGGACAGAUGGCGGGCAGGGACGGGCUCUGCGGUCUGGCAGCUGACAUUGAUACAAGCAAAAAAAGAGUCUUUGC